rnacentral:rRNA from 1 species
UAAUACGAAGGGGGCUAGCGUUGUUCGGAAUUACUGGGCGUAAAGCGCAUGUAGGCGGGUCGUUAAGUCGGGGGUGAAAGCCCAGAGCUCAACUCUGGAACUGCCUUCGAUACUGGCGACCUGGACCCAAGGAGAGGCGAGUGGAAUUGCGAGUGUAGAGGUGAAAUUCGUAGAUAUUCGCAGGAACACCAGUGGCGAAGGCGACUCGCUGGACUUGUGGUGACGCUGAGAUGCGAAAGCGUGGGGAGCAAACAGG